GUUUUUUGUGUGUGUGUGUGUGUGUGUGUGUGUGAGAGAGAGAGAGAGAGAGAGAUAAGUAAAUGAAGUAUUACUUCUAUAUUGACUCUAGAUAGAUUGGUAAAAUUAAAAAGAAGGAAAUAUAUCAUCCUAUGACAUUUGGCUAUCUCAAUUUCACACAUGAUUUGACUAGUAAAUUCGUUAUUGAGGCUUGAAACAUGAAUCUAACAAAAGUAGAGCCUUUGAAGCAUAAAUGUGUCUCUAUGUCACUCUGCUUAGGCCGUUCCAAUUGUUGAUCCUCUAGUUAAAGCAUCAAAACCUCUAAAUCUGUAUUCAUAUUCUUUUAUCUACCUAAUAAUUGCAGUUCUAAAAUAGAUAUCUGAGCAUCACCAGUCCUAAGAGCGUAUCCACUACAAGAAUAUCAACCUUCCCCAAUCAACUCCCCUUGACACAUGUUCAAGAACUUUCACACCUGCAAGAACAACAUCAACAUAAGUUUUGGAUAAAGAACAAAAAUUAAUAGUAAAAUACUUUUAACAGGUUAACUUUUUUUUUAAAAAAAAUCACUAAAUCCUUCAAACGGAGUUACAAUUUGAAGCCCAAAUACUUCGAAUCACAUAUGUACAAUAAAAUAAGAAAGGGGAAGUAACAUGUAAGGGAAGACAAGAAACCCCAUUGAUAAACACACCUGAUUCCAUAGUUUUCAAGAAGCAGUAGAAAAUAUCAUAACAUAAUUCAAAAGGUACCAACUAUAUCUAAUCCAGCACCAACGUGACACAAGCAAAGAAUAUUCACAUUAAAAUGUGAACAAGAAAGGGAUAUUAAAUUAACUAGUAAAAUAUGAGCAAUAAAUUAAAAGCAAAUCUAUAUCACUUAGAACAACGCUUAGCAAUUCACUAUCAUGCAUUAUAGUACUUCACAUCAUUGACACCAUAGAUUUUGGAACAAGUCAGGAAGGGUUCAGAUGAUUAAAAAACUAUCUUUAUUAACUUUAGGCCUGCCAUUGAGUUUCAUCAUGGUUGGAAUAGAUGACCCAUACACAUUAGCAUCAAGUAGCCUAACAUUAAAUUGACACUUAUUGAAAAGUUCCAUGGAUAAAUUAACAGGAAAUCCCACAAAAUAUACAAAGGUACAUUUGUAAUCUUAAGUACAAAAUUUUAGAAGGCACUUCACCCAAAAUAACAUUAAUCAGAAGGCACUUCGCUCAAAAUACAUUAAAAUUGCAAGAUGUUUAUAUGGAAUAUGGAGUGAUAGUAUUAGUUCCUUGAUACAGAGAUAAGAGAAAGUUUAAGAUAUUGUUAUUUUAACAUGCUUCAUAAUUUUCCACUUUAAACUCCUUGCUUGCGCUGAGUUAAAUCUCGAAUGGAUAAUGGACAUCAUAAACUUUGUAUUAAGUAGCCCACAACUACAUUUCUACUCCCACAAGAACUUUACAUGGUAUAAUCCCCAAACUAUCCAAAAUAAAUAACACAAUCAAACAAGAGAAUAUCAUAAAAAAGGGGGAAUCUAAACAUUUUCUCUAAUGAAUGGUAUCAUGAACUAAAUGUUAAUCUAAAACAGCUCCAGAUGACGGAAUAGUUUUUUGUUCUUUUUCCACAUGAUACUGUUUUCAAUCUAAUAAUUUUCUGCUCGAAUCCAUGUCAGGUCAAGAUUCAUAAUCACUGUCAUAGAUAGCUCAUCUUGAUGACUUUUAAUAGUAUAGAGUUUAAUUCAAUGCAUGACCUUUUUAAUUAAAAGUUACGGUAUAUGCAGAAAUGAAGCAUUUUAAGAUGUACCAAUCCUAUGUGAAAUGUUGAGAAACUAUAAAAACAAGACAUGAUACCUCCCAAGAAUACCCAUUUAUAGAAUGUCAUGAUUAAGACGGAACUCGAGAUUGAUCUGUGAAUAUGUUUUUCUAAUUAUUUUCCUUAUAAUUUUCUUUUGUUCUCUGUAGGACCAUCAUAGCAUAUGACAAUGGAAUUGUUGGCAUGACAAUGGAACAAACAAUGGCCUACAACCACCUCCCAUUCAAAAAAACAAAAAAACAAAAAAA